rnacentral:rRNA from 1 species
AGUGAACGCUGGCGGUAGGCCUAACACAUGCAAGUCGAAUGGCAGCACAGUAAGAGCUUGCUCUUACGGGUGGCGAGUGGCGGACGGGUGAGGAAUACAUCGGAAUCUACUUUUUCGUGGGGGAUAACGUAGGGAAACUUACGCUAAUACCGCAUACGACCUACGGGUGAAAGCAGGGGAUCUUCGGACCUUGCGCGAUUGAAUGAGCCGAUGUCGGAUUAGCUAGUUGGCGGGGUAAAGGCCCACCAAGGCGACGAUCCGUAGCUGGUCUGAGAGGAUGAUCAGCCACACUGGAACUGAGACACGGUCCAGACUCCUACGGGAGGCAGCAGUGGGGAAUAUUGGACAAUGGGCGCAAGCCUGAUCCAGCCAUACCGCGUGGGUGAAGAAGGUCUUCGGGUUGUAAAGCCCUUUUGUUGGGAAAGAAAAGCAGCAGGUUAAUACCCCGCUGUUCUGACGGUACCCAAAGAAUAAGCACCGGCUAACUUCGUG